UUCGUUUCGUUUUCGCCUCCCACAUCUCCGCUUGCUCCCGCUCGUUUUUAUUUCCUCCUCUUGCUCCUCCUCCGCCUGUUUGCGCCCGCCCCACACAAACACACGCACACAACACUACGAUCACCACCACCAGCACCGCCCUUCACGCUGGACCUCGCCGCGCAUCAGCACUACACAAGGGGCUUAUUCGAGAAACAAAAGGAGCUGCUGCUGAAGAGGAGGGCAGCAAAAUUACACUGAGAACGGGGAAAAGGACAUCCACACACGCACACGCACACGCACACGCACGCACACACGCGCGCACCGCUGUAUGCGCACGGGUAGCAGAAGGAGAUAUUUACGCACAGACCGAGCAAGCGCUGAUUGUUCCUGGUUCCCGGCUCUUUUUUUUUUCGCAGCCGUGGCAUCUUCGGCGACGUAGGGUUUCGUGUGUGUUUGUGUGAUCACUUCUUUUGUAUUGCUGGGUGCCUCAUCAUCGCACCAUUUCACUGGCUCACCCUCCCUCUCUCGGUAGCUUAACCUCUGUUGGUGCCCUCCGCCCCCUUUACUACUUCGCUCGUUAAGAAACGUCUCGCCUUUCCUUUCUCGUCUUCCCCCUGCCCUUUCGCUGUCGCCGUCUCCGCCGGAUUCCAGAGGUCGCUGCAUUGUGUUUUCCCUCGAGAACACAUUUCUGCUUUGCGCACCGAAGGGCGCACGUCACCGACUGCGGCUCAAAGGCAAUCUGAGAGCGCAGGGCAACUGUGGUGAAACUGGAAGAGCUUUUCCCGAGCAUGAUUCCGCUCCUUCGCAUGUACGGCUGACGUUGGCGCCACCACUUACAGAAAACAGCGCGUACGAAACGAGCAGGGAGUCGAACUGCAACGGAAAAAAAAAAGAAAAAGGAGCGGUGCUACCCUGCCGCUGUGUGUGUGCGCGCGCGCGUGACAAUAGGUGCUAUCUGGUGUUGGUGGCCGUGCGGUUUUCCUCCUCUUUGGUCGUUUGUGUUCGCGAUCGUUGACGCCUCUACUCGCUGCCCUGCCCCUACCAACAUCACCACCCUUCUCUUUCUCCCCUCAUUCGACUUUGUAUAUCCUGUGAUAUUUGGUUUCGUCGUGGCUUGGCAGGUCGUUGACGCAGUGCACGGUCCGCCCUUCGGUCUCCCUCGGUUCUGUACGCUGCGCAUCCUCCCGCUGCCUCUUCCUUGUUCCAUCUUUUCACCUCCGCUUGUUUGUUUUUCGGGUUGUUUCGUGUGUCUCCCUCCCCCCGUCCUCAUCUCGGUUCGAUCCUUUCAGCUCGGUCUUUUCUUUCUCACCGCUGUUCCGCUCUCUCUCGUGCCAUUAUCAUCCUGCCUUUGUGGGCGGGUGGCGAGAAAAGGGGUUGUUGCCUCGUGGAGCUGCAGGCGCCCGCCGUCACCAGAGUCCCCAGGGCGACGCCACCCAUCACUCCCCCAACCACCACGCUUCGUCAUCGCUUCCGUGUGUAGGCGUGAGCUGGGAGGGUGUGUCUGUGGACUCGCUCGUGCUGGUUUCCGCCUAGCCUGUGCUUCUAGUUUGCCCUCCACAUGCACACACACUGACGUCAUCGCCCGCCUUUUCCUAGUGUGUCUUCGAGCUCUCUUCCUUAUUAGUGUGUGCCAAUGAACGCCUCUGAGGCAGCUCUCCUGGAACCGCUCGUCGCUGCUCGUCGAACCGGCGGAGUCGGAGGCAGCGACGCCCCUGUAUCCGGCGUUGAUGGCAACGGUGAUUCACAGCAACACAUAGGCUACUCCACAAAAAACUUGUCGAAGUCCAAUGCCCAUCCGCUGCCUAGAUUGCAGCCACCCACCAACGGCGAGUGGCGUGGGAUUCCAUCAUCGCUGUAUACGAACCUGCACCCCUGCAGCGGUGGCCGACCCAUGAUCAGUGAGCAAAGGACGCCUCUAAUGAGCGUCAACGAUUUGUACAACGCACCCCCGCACAUGAUUGGGGGGUUUAACGGCAGCGGCAACGGCGGCCCGCCGAUAAUGAGGCCGCCCUUGCCGCCGCCGGCGUUCAACAGCUCUGCCAGCUCUAGGCCGGCUCCACCGUCCAUGCACAGCUGUGGGCCGCAGCCUCCGGUGAGCCUCAAAAAAUCUCUUCGGACGAACGGGCCUGUAAAGCAGAUCGCCAUAUGUGGCAGCUCAGAGCCCGGAAGCACGCGCCUUCCGUCCUCGCAACUCCUACAGAGUCAGCGUGUCAUGUCCGUGGCGCGUGGCCCACAGCCAAGCUCAGUAGAGCCGACACGAUUGGCGAACGGCAAGAAGAUCAAGACAGAUAAACAGCGGCCGCAGGUUGCAGAGGCGAAGCCCGAGCACUACGCUUUCACCGGUCCGACGAAGAGCGCCAUGAAGAUACGCAAGGCGCAGCUCCAGCAGCAGAGGCGCGGCGCCAACUUGGGGAAGGAAAUCAAGACAACCGUAGGCAACGACAACUCGUGGAUGAAGGGGCUGACCUACUCGACCUGGGUAGACUCACCGAAAGGACCGUUGCACAAACUCGACCACGAGGGCCCAUAUAAGCGUCGGCCAAAGACCAAGAACAAUUCUAACAAGAAUAGGGGACGCAAGACUCGUAGCAACAUGGGCAAGACGAGCUUGCUUCUUGAGGCACUUCGCAACCUGUUCCGAUGAUAAGGAAUGUUUAUGUGUGCGGAAGAGGGGAGAGCGAGGGGGAGACUCAGAGUUAAGGGAGAAAAAAGAGGAGAAACUGAACGGCGGUCAUGGAAGACAACAGCAACCAAGCAGAUCCUCUGGGAAUGAGGUGAACGGGAGGGAAGUCACGUAAGCGAGUAGAGCGCCCAUGUAUAGUAGCCCUCCCCUCCCCCAAUGUGUGUGUAUUUAUGUGUACCUCGAUCUGUCUCUCUUCGCCUCUCGUCUUCCCCCCUCCCCUUACAGCCGCAGGAGGAGGUUAUCCCUGCAUCCUUCUUUGGUGUUCGUUUCCUGCCUUUUUUUUUCGCUGGUAGAGCUCUUUGCUCUCGCGAACCGGCGCGCCGCCCCCCCCCCUCUCCCUUCAUCCCUCCCCAUGCCCGCGCUUCUCAUCUACUCACCUGUUGUUCUGUCACUGGCUCAUGCCGUUUAUGCUCUCUGCCGGCCUUUACUCAAAUUGAUCCUCAUCAUUUCAGAAUCCUUUUCCUCGCCAUCUCUGUUUGUCUUCUACGUGCUGCUGGCGCGGCACACACACGCAUACACGCACGGGGCUCAUUGAUGUACACCGAGCGUAUGCGUGUGCCCCCUCCCCCACCCCUUUUUGUUUUCUUCACUGUAGCAGGCCGUCUGUUUUGUUUUGUUUUUUUUUUUGCAAGUACAUGGGCCUUGAUUGUUGUUGUCUUUUUCAAGGCUUUCUUUUGGUCCACUGUAUGUUGGCUCCUGUGCAGUCAAGCCGAGGCGCGUCCCCUCUGGAGAGGGGAGGGGAAGAAGGGGAAGGGGGCGCACACGCACGCAGACAGAUAGACUCAAACAGAAACAGAGAGGGGCGCGUCAGUGUCUCUCCUGCACCCCUCUCUUGGGUGCACUGCUCGUACCUUCUCUGUUUGUUUUACACUCGCUGCGUGUCUUCUCACUAAAAGACGCAUUUGCAUAUAUAUAUAUAUAUAUGUGUGUAUGUAUGUGUGUGUGCUGCUGUUGUUUGACUUGAUGGGGAUCCAUGUUCUCUGCUAUUCUUUCUCUGCGUUAUGGCGGCGUCCUACGUCUCCCCCUCCCCCUCUUCAUUGGUCUGUGUAUCGGUGCCCUUGGGUUUAUCUCUUCUUUUCGGAGUAUGUGCACACGGAUACCUUCGUCCUCUGUUUUCGUUUUUUGUUUUUGAAGGGGAAGAAGUUCCCUGUGCGCCCAUCACCGUCUGCUCUGAUUUCUUUAUUCUUGUGGUCUGCGUGUGUGUGCGUGUUUGUAUUGUCCGUCUCAUUUUCCACAAUUUUUUAUUCAGCUUGUGCUUCGCAUUCGUUUCGCGCUUGUUCCCGACUCCUCCCAUCCCUCUCGUCCUCCCCCUCUCCCUCCUGAUUACCACACACAAACAUAUAUAUGUACACCUCUUCCCUGGUAGCCCUUAUCCCUGAAGUCUCGAUGCGGCCUUGCUUUGGGUUCGCUUGUUUUCUUCUGCUCCUCACUCCCUCCCGUUGUGUCUCUCAACGUCGCGAGAAGUCGUUGGUGUGUGGGCGAGCAUGUGCUCAUGCGUGUCGGUUUUUUCACUGAAGGGAGAGGGGAAUUUACAGAUCUUCUCCACACUGUUUUGUUUGCUUGCGCGUUUUAUUUUUUUUUCAACGCUGUCUUACACCCUGAUGACGUGGGAACAGCUCCGCCCCGCAUCGGGAGUCAGAGACCCACUCUGUGAAGGAGUCGGAGCAGUGUAUCGCUAUUGGUGUCGGCGCUCAGGUGCUGGACGGUGUGAUGUCGGAGCGGCCUGGGUCAGCGUACACGUCUGUGCCAUCCAUGUGACAGGCAGAGCGUCAGCGUGACGCAAGCGCAUAUCCCACCCCCGCCCCUCGCGCUGCCUACAGCGGUGUGGGGAGGCCUGAGGUAUCCCUUGGGGGCGGGAGGGGGGGCGCACAUCAGGUGGCAGCCGGCAUGAUGGGAGAGCGACUGUGAGGCGGCCGGCAAAGCGAAGGCGAGUGGAGUUUGAGUCAGAGGCCGUGCUGAGCCGACCAAGUCGGCGCACUGCACUAGCGUGUGUGUCCACGGCUGCUUCGCACCACGUCACGUUGCCCGUGGCAGGCCGAGGGGCCCCAGUGGAGUUUGACUAAUUUUAUAGGACGGAGAAGGAGCACGUUGAAAACGGCAUACCUCUUGUACCUUGUAGCCUCAGCACGCCUGCACAGAGGCUUCCGUGUUCCCGUCAUACACCCUAAAGCACCAGCACGUGCACUUGAGCGCGCAUGUAGGGUGCGCAAUGGGGUGGGUGUGAGUGUGGGUGUGGGUGUGGG
rnacentral:misc_RNA from 1 species